rnacentral:sRNA from 12 species
UCUGCAUAAAUUUGUAUCAGACCAAGAGAUUUGAGCAAAUCACUUUGUGGAAGUUUAAAUUAGUAACACUAAUCUGAAAUUGAUAAAGAUUUACAUAUAAAUGAAAUUUCGGAUUACUUGGAUAACCGUAUGUCCUUUAGCAUUUAUACUAUAAAAAUAAUUUUGAAUAACUUUGUAUAAGUUUGCAAAUUACGGUUGA